rnacentral:lncRNA from 1 species
ACAAGUUUCAGGUAAAGUUCAAUUUUCACGAUUUUAGCUUUUCUCCUUGUUCAGUUAAAGCACUGUUAUUUAUUACUAGAUUUCUUUUCAAAGGGAAAUAAUCAACUUUUUAAAGAUAUUUUUAUUUAAUGAUAAAUGACAUUUUGGAUUUUUUUGUUAAAAUUGAGAAAGGAAAUGGGGAAUGUGUCAAAGCGACAACAACCCGACCAUAGAGCAGACAACAGCCGAAGGCCAUCAAUGGGUCUUCAAUGUAGCGAGAAACUCCCGUACCCGUAGGCGUCCUUCAGCUGGCCCUUAAAAAAUAUGAAUACUAGUAUGUAGUGAUAAUGGACGUCAUACUAAACUCCGAAUUAUACACAAGAAACUAAAAUUAAAAAUCAUACAAGACUAACAAAGGCCAGAGGCUCCUAACUUGGGACAGGCGCAAAAUUGCGGCGGGGCCGGGUUGAACAUGUUUAUGAGAUCUCAACCCUCC